UACGUAGGGCCCAAGCGUUGUUCGGAAUCACUGGGCGUAAAGGGCGUGUAGGCGGUCAGGUAAGUGGGACGUGAAAUGCCUCGGCUCACCCGAGGAGCGGCGUCCCAUACUGCUUGGCUUGAGUACGGGAGAGGAUGUGGGAAUUCCUGGUGUAGCGGUGAAAUGCGUAGAUAUCAGGAGGAACACCGGUGGCGAAGGCGCACAUCUGGCCCGAUACUGACGCUGAGGCGCGAAAGCUAGGGGAGCAAACGGG
rnacentral:rRNA from 1 species